UUUUUUUGACUAAUGUGAUACCUAAUUUUGGUAAAGGUUACAUAUAUUAGUCCAAUAACUUAACACCAUUUGUUCUUUUUUUUUUCUUGAUAUGGUGCAUCGAACUAAUGAAGGAUAGACACGUAUAUAGGAAAUUGAUGAGCGCAAAACGAAAAUCGAUCACUCUUAUAACACUCUCCUUCCCCUUGUCCUUAGAGUUUUGACCACCUAGUUUCAUUAACACAAUAAAAACAAUAAUUCAAGUUAGUAUUACAAGAAUCAAACAUCGAAUCACCUAAAUCAAUUAAAGUUAAUGCAUUCGAUGCAAAAACCUUAUUUCAUUUUUAAAAUUUAUAGAAAACAAUAACUCAAACUUGAAUCUAAACUCACCUAAAUUGAAAUCUAAUUAUGUAAUUAGCAUCUAGAAUUUAAAAACACACUAUCUUCACUAAAUUAAGAUCAAAAUCUUAAAACAAACCUUGGCUCAUUAGGAAUACCUAUUUUUUGGUACAACUUCAAAACAACUCUAUAGAAUGAUCACAACAAAUUGAAGAUACAAAACAAACUAGAUCACAACAAAUCAAAAUAUUACAAUGAGUGUCAAGUUGUAACCUAUGAACUAGAUGUUUACUUACCCAUGAAUGGUCUGGAUUCGAACAUGAUUGUAAAUCUAAAUCACAAACAAUUGCGAUCUUAAACUCAAUCAUAGACCAGCAAAAUCAAAACAAAAGAAAAGAAAGAGAACAAUAGAAUCAUCCCAACACAAGACGAAGAUUUGAG
rnacentral:lncRNA from 1 species